UAAGCGGAGGAAAAGAAACUAACAAGGAUUCCCCUAGUAACGGCGAGUGAAGCGGGAUGAGCUCAAAUUUAAAAUCUGGCGGCCUCAGGUCGUCCGAGUUGUAGUCUAGAGAAGCGUUUUCCGCGUUGGCCUGUGUACAAGUCCCUUGGAAUAGGGCGUCAUAGAGGGUGAGAAUCCCGUCCUUGACACAGAUCCCAAUGCUUUGUGAUACGCUCUCAAAGAGUCGAGUUGUUUGGGAAUGCAGCUCAAAAUGGGUGGUAAAUUCCAUCUAAAGCUAAAUAUUGGCGAGAGACCGAUAGCGAACAAGUACCGUGAGGGAAAGAUGAAAAGCACUUUGGAAAGAGAGUUAAACAGUACGUGAAAUUGUUGAAAGGGAAACGAUUGAAGUCAGUCAUGCUUCUCUGGAUUCAGCUUGUUCUACAAGUGUAUUUCCAGUUUUGCAGGCCAGCAUCAGUUUUGUUUGAUGGAAAAAGCUUGAGGAACGUGGCAACCCCGGUUGUGUUAUAGCCUCUUUGCGCAUACAUCAGAUGGGACUGAGGAACGCAGUGUGCCUUUAUGGUCGGUCUUCGGACACGUACGCACUUAGGAUGCUGGCAUAAUGGCUUUAAACGACCCGUCUUGAAACACG
rnacentral:rRNA from 1 species